rnacentral:tRNA from 1 species
GGGGAUUUAGCUCAGUGGUAGAGCGCUUGCCUAGCAAGUGCAAGGCCCUGGGUUCGUUCAGUCCCCA